UGCUCUGCGCUGACCCUUCCCACCCGCCUGCUCUCGGGCAUACCCUGCACUGCUGCCCAUGGCGUGGAGGAGCAGAACGGGAUGUGUUCCAUGCCCCUCACAGCCCAAGACCUGGCAGGAGCUCCACCACCCGCCCAGCUCUUCUUCACACAUCUCCCAGGCGCUAAGUGGGAAGAACUAGAGGUAGACCAGAAGCAGCCAGCACGCCCUGCGAGUAGGAGCUCCGAGGGACUUUGCAGCUCAGCUUCCAUUCUGCUCACCUGGUGCAUCCUCUGCACUCCUACGUACGCAGAGAAACAGAUUUUGAGUUCUGAUUGUUCUGUCCAAAGAAGGAAAGCUAGUUCAUGGAGCUUGCUGGAAUAACGUUCAACACAGCUGAAGGAAGACAGAGGAGGAUAUCCAGGGAGACGUCGUCCAGAGCUUGCCAGUCCCAGGAGGAGAACGACAUCUCAGUACCAGGGCAUCCCUGUUCACAGCACACUCAUCUCUAGCUGAACUGGAGCUCCGCACGGUUGGGUUGGAUGUUCCAAGGAUAUGGCUGACAGCACUGCACAAAUGUGACUGAGAUCCUGAUAAGCAAGAGAAAUGAUAUGGAUGCAUAAGUUUACCAAAACCAGAAAUAACAGAAUUUUGCUGGAAUGACAGAUGGAACAAAACUUUCGUGAAUAUGGAUGGAGGAUGUUUUGGCGCCUAUUACAGGUAAGAAUGCCGUGUUAUUUCUUAUUUAUCUGAAUGCACAGUGCACA